rnacentral:rRNA from 1 species
AUGGAUCGCCAGUUUCUUGAGAAUCUUCUGAGGAUGCUGAAAUUUCUCUCUUCAAUGAGCGCCGUAUCUGCUGGGAAAAUACUUGGGGCAGUCCUGUGUUUAGCCACACUGUCUCCUAUGUACUUCACGCACUCUGCACCCCGUGUCAUCGAAUCCACUCGCUACAUCACCAAGGCCUUGCAGAUCUACUCCUUCAAAAUCUCUGACCUAAAUGGCUACUGGAAGUGGCCACUCUGUGUGUACGGCGUGGUCGCUGCUCGAGACGCUGUGGACUGUAACCGCAACCUUCUCUUCUCUCGCUCCAGGGCUAACUGCCAAGUAGUCACUGAAAAGGAUCCUUUUUUGCACUUGACUGGCCCUUCUCGUGCAAUUGUGGCUGACGAACCUGUUGACUUUGAAGUCGAGCUAAAGAUAAAAUGUGGAACAAAUCAGUCCCAAGAUAUAGCUUUGAUCAGUUCUACUUACCACUACACUUCUAGAGGUGAUGCUGCUUUUUUCUCUGGCCGCUCUUGUUCGGCAACGUUGAGCCUUGAGACAGUUCCUAGAGCGGCCCAGGCAACUAUAUUGUCUAUUCGAGUGGUUGGAGGAGUGUCUCUUUUCGAAUUUGGAGGCCGGGUUGCUUGCUCGUUCUCUACUGAAGAGUAUGUUGAUCCCACAUGCGAGCAAGUUGUGCUGGUUGAGUCUGCUGAAAAGAUUCCUGAGGAUGAUGGUUACCUUACACUGUCAAGGAAGGUUGUUACGGCAGGACUACAAGGAGGAUUGCAAGUUGCCAUACAAGCCUAUGGGGGAUCUGACCGUCCAUCCGUAUCCGGUCUUCUUUACUUCCCUUCCCAGUAUUGCAGGGUAAGUCGGCGCACAUGCUUGGUCGGUGGCUUUGAGGUGGAGGUAACUGUUGCUUGGUCGUGGUUUGUACAGGACAAGAUGGAAAUCUUGUGA